rnacentral:tRNA from 1 species
GCUGUGGCUCAGUGGAAAAGCUUCCGCUUUGCACGCAGAUGGUCUCAGGUUCAAUCCCUUGCAUCUCCA